AGCUAUAAGUUCUCUGUAUCGCAGCUAACGCAAUAAGCACUCCGCCUGGGGAGUACGACCGCAAGGYUGAAACUCAAAGGAAUUGACGGGGGCCCGCACAAGCGGUGGAGCAUGUGRUUUAAUUCGAAGCAACGCGAAGAACCUUACCAGGUCUUGACRUACUCGUGCUAUUCCUAGAGAUAGGAAGUUCCUUCGGGACACGGGAUACAGGUGGUGCAUGGUUGUCGUCAGCUCGUGUCGUGAGAUGUUGGGUUAAGUCCCGCAACGAGCGCAACCCCUAUUGUUAGUUGCCAUCAUUAAGUUGGGCACUCUAACGAGACUGCCGGUGAUAAACCGGAGGAAGGUGGGGAUGACGUCAAAUCAUCAUGCCCCUUAUGACCUGGGCUACACACGUGCUACAAUGGAUGGUACAACGAGUCGCGAGACAGUGAUGUUUAGCUAAUCUCUUAAAACCAUUCUCAGUUCGGAUUGUAGGCUGCAACUCGCCUACAUGAAGUCGGAAUCGCUAGUAAUCGCGGAUCAGCACGCCGCGGUGAAUACGUUCCCGGGCCUUGUACACACCGCCCGUCACACCACGGGAGUUGGGAGUACCCGAAGUAGGUUGCCUAACC
rnacentral:rRNA from 1 species